rnacentral:rRNA from 1 species
AUGUUUGAUCAUGGCUCAGGACAAACGCUGGCGGCGUGCGUAACACAUGCAAGUCGUGCGGGCGGAGGACUUCGGUCUUCUGUCAGCGGCGGACGGGUGAGUAACACGUGAAUCACCAACCCUCCAGUGGGGGAUACCCGGCGGAAACGCUGGUUAAUCCCGCAUACGUUUCUCUCAAGAAAGAAAGCCGUAAGGCGCUGGUGGACGGGUUCGCGGUCGAUUAGCUAGUUGGCAGGGUAAGAGCCUACCAAGGCGACGAUCGAUAGCUGGUCUGAGAGGAUGAUCAGCCACACUGGGAUUGAGAACGGCCCAGACUCCUACGGGGGGCAGCAGUGAGGAAUCUUCGUCAAUGGGCUAAGGCCUGAACGAGCAACGCCGCGUGGAGGACGACGCCUUUCGGGGUGUAAACUCCUUUUCUGGGGGACGAGAACGGACGGUACCCCAGGAAGAAGUCUCGGCUAACUACGUGCCAGCAGCCGCGGUAAUA